ensembl:lncRNA
GUUUCUGGAUGUGGAAGUCAUUAAUAGUGAGACUCUUCACUCAAAUAGUUUAAGCAGAUAUAGGUUCCCACCUACAAACCUGUGAAGCUUACAUUAGGUGGCGGCACGGAUCUCUGCCUGUCUGACUGACAUCUCUCAGUGGAUGUCCGCCCACCAUCUGAAAAUCAACCCCGACAAGACUGAAAUACUAUUUCUGGGAAAAGAUUCUCCGACCCAGGACCUGACGGUCAACUUUGCCAACUUCGUGUUAACGCCCACUUUGACUGCUAGGAACCUCAACGUGACACUCGACAGCCAACUUUCCUUGACUCCCAACAUCACUGCGACAACACGAUCCUGUAGAUAUAUGCUGUACAACAUCAGGAGAAUACGUCCCCUUCUCACUCAGAAGGCAGCGCAGGUACUGAUUCAGGCUCUUGUCAUCUCCCGCCUGGACUACUGCAACUCCCUCCUGGCUCAUCCAGAAUGCAGCAGCUCGACUGGUCUUCAACCUUCCGAAAUUCUCCCACACUACUCCACUCCUCCGCUCUCUUCACUGGCUACCGGUGGCCGCCCGCAUCCAGUUCAAAACAUUGGUGCUCACGUACCAUGCUGUGAAUGGAUCGGGUCCAGCUUACAUGCAGCACAUGGUCAAACCCUACAUCCCAACCCGCACUCUCCGCUCUGCAUCUGCAAAACUACUCGUCCCUCCCUCACUGAGAGCAAAACACUCGACAAGAUCACGACUCUUUGCUGUCCUUGCUCCGAAAUGGUGGAACGAGCUCUCUGAAGACACCAGGACCGCAGAGAGCCUUCACAUCUUUCGCCGCAAACUAAAGACACAUCUCUUCAGACUCUACCUCGACUAAAGACUAACAAAUUGUAGCACUUAAAUUGUACUUGUAACGUCACUCAUCUAUAGCAAAUUGUAAAUUGGCUUAUUUGAUAAAAAUGCACUUUCUUGUUUCUUGUUCUUCUGAGUUUGUACCCUAUGGUUGAAUGCACUUAUUGUACG